AUUGAACGCUGGCGGCAGGCCUAACACAUGCAAGUCGAGCGGAGCGGCGGACGGGUGAGUGAUGCCUAGGAAUCUGCCUGGUCUUGGGGGAUAACGUCCGGAAACGGGCGCUAAUACCGCAUCCUAUCAGAUGAGCCUAGGUCGGAUUAGCUAGUUGGUGGGGUAAAGGCCUACCAAGGCGACGAUCCGUAACUGGUCUGACAGGAGGAUCAGUCACACUGGAACUGAGACACGGUCCAGACUCCUACGGGAGGCAGCAGUGGGGAAUAUUGGACAAUGGGCGAAAGCCUGAUCCAGCCAUGCCGCGUGUGUGAAGAAGGUCUUCGGAUUGUAAAGCACUUUAAGUUGGGAGGCGGUACCAAAAGAAUAAGCACCGGCUAACUUCGUGCCAGCAGCCGCGGUAAUUC
rnacentral:rRNA from 1 species